GACGAACGCUGGCGGCGUGCUUAACACAUGCAAGUCGAACGGAAAGGCCCUGCUUUUGUGGGGUGCUCGAGUGGCGAACGGGUGAGUAACACGUGAGUAACCUGCCCUUGACUUUGGGAUAACUUCAGGAAACUGGGGCUAAUACCGGAUAGGAGCUCCUGCUGCAUGGUGGGGGUUGGAAAGUUUCGGCUGUUGGGGCUGGACUCGCGGCUUACCAGCUUGUUGGUGGGGUAGUGGCUUACCAAGGCUUUGACGGGUAGCCGGCCUGAGAGGGUGACCGGCCACAUUGGGACUGAGAUACGGCCCAGACUCCUACGGGAGGCAGCAGUGGGGAAUAUUGCACAAUGGGCGGAAGCCUGAUGCAGCAACGCCGCGUGCGGGAUGACGGCCUUCGGGUUGUAAACCGCUUUCGCCUGUGACGAAGCGUGAGUGACGGUAAUGGGUAAAGAAGCACCGGCUAACUACGUG
rnacentral:rRNA from 1 species